rnacentral:sRNA from 1 species
UUCAGUUGGCAUAGCUGAGUAGGACUAGGGCCAGGAGUGGAGAUGGCCCCCUUGAGCAUUUCCCUGGUAGUAUUUCCUCCUUUCCAAUUCGUGGUCUUCAUUUACUUCACCCCAUCCUUGGGUGAUGAGGGCACAACACCAGUGCACUGAAGUACAGAAGUCUCCACACUUGAAAAGCCAAGUCUCCACAAAUGUGACUUGCUCAGUUCCCGGCAGCACCAGGACUGGGCCCAGGGUCCCGGAACCUUGAGUCAGGGCUUAGCUGGGAGCUGACCUAUCUCCAGAGAGUCCAUUCUGGUCCCUCAGGCUGUCUUGGUGCGGAGCACUGCUCCCUCAUGCCCCCUCCCGCUGGCCCUUGGCAGUGUAUUCUGAGCAGAAGCUCCAGAGAGGAAAGAGCCCGCUGAGAUGGGGCCAGAGUUCACAGCAGUGACAGAGCUUGGAUGAAUCCCGGCGUCUCCUGCCUGCUGCUUGCCUGGGGCAGCCUUCUUUGCACCUUGGUGGAGGAAGGGUGCAGUGGAAUUGGUCCCUGUUUCUCCUGGGAGGGGCCUUCACCAGAGCUGCUCUCACCACAGAUUGAGUGCCAUCUAUGGGGGAACAUAUAUGCUGAACAAACCUGUGGAUGACAUCAUCAUGGAGAACGGCAAGGUGGUGGGCGUGAAGUCUGAGGGAGAGGUGAGCAUUUCCCGUGCAGUGCAGUCCCAUGGUUGAGGUGGGGCUUGGUCACCUUCUCUCUGUGCUGCCGAGUCUCCUGCUGCACAGCCCCGAGGGUCUUGGAGCUGGGAACUGGGGGUCUAGAAGUCUUCAGAGUUAUGACUGUGGGUGAGAGGUCUCUUUCAGAGGCCACAUGCCAUGUCUGUGGUGCAGCAAGUGUUUUUGAUCACAGUGCCUCUGGGGGGCGGGGUGGCGGCGGGGGCGGGCCUGCAGCUCCUCCUGCAGCUCAGGGUAGGGCCACGCAUUCAGGAAGGGCAGUAGUGAUGGCUUGGAGGAGCGCCUUGUCUGCCAGAGCUGCCUGCCCUUGCUGUGAGCGCAGCCCCACGUCUACCUAAGGGAGGGAUGUGACAGGGGCGAGGACUUCUGGUGCCUUCUCAGGUGGCCCGCUGCAAGCAGCUGAUCUGUGACCCCAGCUACAUCCCGGACCGUGUGCGGAAGGCUGGCCAGGUUAUCCGCAUCAUCUGUAUCCUUAGCCACCCCAUCAAGAACACCAACGACGCCAACUCCUGCCAAAUAAUCAUCCCCCAGAACCAGGUCAACAGGAAGUCAGACAUCUACGUGUGCAUGAUCUCCUAUGCACACAACGUGGCGGCCCAGGGCAAGUACAUAGCUAUUGCCAGCACUACUGUGGAGACCACGGACCCUGAAAAGGAGGUGGAGCCAGCUCUGGAGCUGUUGGAGCCCAUUGACCAGAAGUUUGUGGCUAUCAGUGACUUGUAUGAGCCUAUUGAUGAUGGUUGUGAGAGCCAGGUGUUCUGUUCCUGCUCCUACGAUGCCACCACACACUUUGAGACAACCUGCAACGACAUCAAAGACAUCUACAAACGCAUGGCUGGCACGGCCUUUGACUUUGAGAACAUGAAGCGCAAACAGAACGACGUUUUUGGAGAAGCUGAGCAGUGAUUGUGGCCGCCCCCAGCCCCUGCUGCCCCAGCCUGUGUCUGUUCUCGAGGGCUCCAGCAUCCUCUGCUUCCCCCACCACGUUCCCAUCACCCACCUCAUUGAUCCACUGACCAAAUCCUUAACCCUAGCGAUGGUUUGGGAGGAUGGGGGGUUGGAUAGCAUCCUCUUUCUUGGCCCUUCCUUAUCCUAGGAAAAGAGGGUUCCUCUCCUUGCGUGUGUCUCUUCCCCCCACCCCUAACUCUUCUGCUCUGUUUGGGAAGAUGUGGAGGAAAAGGUGACUUCUGCCCCCACCGCUCUUACCCCCACUGUAGUGGCCUUUGGAGAUGCCCCCACCUCCCCCCACCAACUCUUGCGUGUUGGAGAGAAGGGGCCCUCCCAGCACAAAGUUGCAUUCCUCCCCCCUAAUUUAUUCUAAUUUAUUAACUUCUACCCACCCUUUCUGAGCCUGCAGCCUUCCCGUGUGGCCUGAGGGCUGUAGAGUGAGCUGCCCCAUCCCCUCCCAGCCCUUGCCCAGCCUGGGGGAGUGGGGAAGGCUUGGGCGUGGCCCCGUUGGAGGUUGAUUUGCUGUUUUGUUUCUUGUCUGUUGUGUUUUGUGUUCUGUGGUACUUGCUGAGAGAAAAGAAAAGUGAGCAAAGCAGAAGGAGGUGGGAAAAUGGACCCAAACCCCAGUGUGCCCUGCCCCAUGCCUUUCCUUUAGUGGUGGGAAACCCUUAUCUUGCAAAGUGAAUGUGUCCCCUUCCCCACCCUCUAGUGUAUUUCACAGAAAACAAAACCUCCCAAUAAAACGGUUGAAACCUG